rnacentral:rRNA from 1 species
CCUACGGGUGGCAGCAGUCGAGAAUUAUUCACAAUGGGGGAAACCCUGAUGGUGCGACGCCGCGUGGGGGAAUGAAGGUCUUCGGAUUGUAAACCCCUGUCAUGUGGGAGCAAAUUAAAAAGAUAGUACCACAAGAGGAAGAGACGGCUAACUCUGUGCCAGCAGCCGCGGUAAUACAGAGGUCUCAAGCGUUGUUCGGAAUCACUGGGCGUAAGGCGUGCGUAGGCUGUUUCGUAGGUCGUGUGUGAAAGGCGCGGGCUCAACCCGCGGACGGCACAUGAUACUGCGAGACUAGAGUAAUGGAGGGGGAACCGGAAUUCUCGGUGUAGCAGUGAAAUGCGUAGAUAUCGAGAGGAACACUCGUGGCGAAGGCGGGUUCCUGGACAUUAACUGACGCUGAGGCACGAAGGCCAGGGGAGCGAAAGGGAUUAGAUACCCCAGUAGUC